CGGGUCCUUGCUGGCAACAGGUGGUGGGCGGAGCCUGUCAUUCAUCUGAGUUCUCUUUUCAAGUCGGUAAGUUAUGGGUGACUAACCGCACAGAGAGUGUAAAGUCGCCAGGAUUGGACUUGGAGGGCCGAGCCAGGAAAGAUCCCUCGAUGCCUCGGUCCUUCAGCAGGACCUCCGCCACCAGGCCCGAGACGUUGGGAUGGAACCAUCUGUUGGAGAGGGAAGGCAAUUCAAAAGCUGUAUAGCAAAGAAAUAUGUGUUAACGAAUAUCUGGUCUACUGAUGUACAGCAAUUAAUAAUGCAUCAAGAAAAGUAAAUAAAUACAAGGAGACUGUAAAAUUAUAGAGAAAAUAUAAAAAUCCUCUAUUUUUUAAGUUUAUCUUUUACUAUGAAGAAAUUAUGGCAAAUGGAUUUUCAACAAAUUAAAACUGACAUUAGUGCUGAAUUUCAAUACCUGUAAGAAUAUUUCAACACAAACAAUGCUUACUACUAUUAUCAGAUAAAAUGUAUAGUUUAAGAAAUUCUUGUAAGUUUCCUUAUCAAUUUUUUUUGUAAUUAUCAAUGGAUAAAAUGUAUAGCUUAAGAAAUUCUUUGAAAUUUC